GAGCAGCCCGCGACGCCAGCCCAGCCGUCCGUGACUCCCCCUGCCGACGCCGCUCGGAUCCAAACCCCCCCGCACAGCACCCGCUGUUCGCAAUUGGCAGUGACCCGCGAGUCCCCUUUCCGAACUCUGCCACCUGCUGCCGCCGGAGUUUCUUCCCUGCCAGACCUCUGAUCUGCUGCCCCUCACCGGAGCCGGUGACCAGCCGCACGGACACGAAGCUUGAAAGGGAUAAAAGAAAAAAAAUCAUUUAGGUAGUUCCUUUUUUAUUUACUUUAUUUAUAUACUUAUUUUUUAACGUUAUUCUCACUUAUUUAUUUUUUUCCUUUAGUAGGAUUAUUCCUAAAUAUGUUCCAACAUGAAAGUGCCCCUCAAGCAAGGGAUUGAUAGUCCGAUUUUCGCGCCCGAAAUCCGACUCGCAAUCCCUUAUAAAAAUCGACAAUCCAAUCUCAAGCCCGAGAUUUGAUUCGCGAUUUAAAAUUAAAAUUGGUCAACCCGAUCUCAUGCGCGAGAUACGGUUCGCCAAUUUUUUAGAUAUCAAUAUUAUCUUGCUUGAUUUGAUAUCAUGUGUUUAGAUCAAUUUUAUUUUCAUAAGAGAAAAAAAUCAUAAAAAAAAUUCAAAUUAGGAUUAAGUAUGUUUUAGAAUAUUUUUAGUCUUAGGGUUAAAAUCACAACCUGAUUUCGAAUUUUUUUAAAAUAAAAAAAUCAAAAAGAAAAAUCCGAAUAAGGACUAGGUUUGUUUUUGUUAUCUUGCAUAUUAGGAUUGCAAUCUUAUUAUGAAUUUUUUAAUAAAAAAUCCAAAAAAAAGUGCAUUCAUUUAGGUUGUUAGUUUUUUUUUAUUUGAAUUGCAUGUUAAUUAGGUAUUAAUUUUAAUUUUGAGAUUAAAGAAAACCAUAAAAAAUCAUUGUGCAUAUUAGAUUAGAAUUGCAUGCUUCAUUUUAAAUUUAGAUAAUCUUUUUUAGAUAAAUGGCAUUUUAGAUUUAGAUAAUGUUUUAGUUUAAAUUAGGAUUUAAUAUGACUUAAUCCCUAGUUUAAAUUAGAUAGAAUCUUAAUCUAGCUAUAGAUCAUUUGAGAUUUCAUAAAAUUUGUCUUAGGAUAAAUUAGUUGCAAUUUCUAAGAUAGAUUGCAUUUUUUUAAUAAAAAAUGUCAUAUGCAUAUGUCAUGUAGAAUUAGAGCAUUCUUUGCACGUCAUUGCAUGCUAAGAUUGCAUAUUAUAGGUUUAGAUAAUUUCUCCUAAAUAGAUUGCAUGCUUAUUAGGAAAAUAAAAAUCAUGUGCACGUCAUAUAAAAUUAGUUUCAUAUAAUGCACGUCAUUUAGUGAUUAUUGUUAGGUUUAUUUCUAAUUAGAAAUUGCCUGUCAUUAGAAUUAGGUCAUUAGAUUAAUUUAGAUUGCAUAGUUAAAUGUUGCAUUUCUUAAAUUUUGAAUCUCAUAGAAAAUACAAAAAAAUUAUUUAGAAUAAAUCAUCUCAUGCUUAGGAUAGAUUACAUGCUUAGUUAUGUCAUAUAGCUAAGUCAUGUUGCCAUGUCAUAUCAUUUCAUGUUAAAUUAGUGGCAUGCAUUGCAUAUUGCAUGAUUUUCAUUAAUUAAAUGAAAACAAAACAAAAACUGCGUGUUAAUUAGAAAUCAUAUUUAGGACUGCUGAUGUGAAUUCUAAACUAACAACGCAUACGCUUUCGUUGCUAUGAGGUAAGUCCUGCAAUUUAUUCAUUUGCUUUCUUGAGUGUUAAAUUGGUGGUUUGCGCACCUGCAUGAACACCUCAUAUGUUAGGGAAUUAGUUUUAAAUCAAUCCAAACUUCUUGCCAAACAUUUUUUGAAAAUAAAAAGAAUGGUACCGAAAGGGCAUUAGAGAAAUCUAAUGUAAUCAAGUCCCCGUACCCUUAGUCUCUGGUUCGUAGGAGUAAAGUAAAUCUCCCGUUACUUUACUAGGGUUUCUAAUCGACCCACCAAAAAUAGAUUAGUGGCGACUCCUAGUUAAAAUUCAAUUGCAUGUUAAUAAUUCAAACCUAAGUCGCGAAUUGGUAUGGGCUUGGGAGAGCCCGAGUUAAGUCUAGGCUUAACAAUCCAUUAGCCAAAUCCUAGGUGGUCCAAACCCCGAAAAAUUGGUCGCGACAGUUUUGACAUUCCUGUGAGUGACAAAGGAACGCCCCUCUUCUCGUCGGUGUUGCUCCAUUGCCCCCACAGACUUAAAGUUGUGAUUUUUUUUUUUUUUUUUUGCUUCUUUCUGCCUCUCAUAGGCGUCACGUGCAAGUUAUCACUUUUUGUCACAUUUUCCAUGGCAAAUUUACUUGUUUCAUUUUCUUUUGGUCGUACUUUGAGAGUUGUCCUGAAUUUUCAUUUUUUUCGAAUCUUGUUUUGCAGAGGAGCUCCAAGCUAAUCUAUAUCAUGAACUCCAAACUCGGUCUGGAACUAUAAGAAAUCUCAUUAAUUUCCGACAAGUGUAAGAAAAAGGACAUGUUCCUUCAAAUUUACUCUUUUGUGUUUGCAAUUUUUGAAUUUCUCAUUCAAUUUCUG
rnacentral:lncRNA from 1 species